GCCGGAUACGGACUUUACAGACGUGAAGAAAACCAAUUCUGGGAGAUAUCUUCCGGAUAAAGUUAUCGGGAACUUAUACGGAGGUGAAGAAACCGGCCAUCAGUCACUUGCAUGGAGCAUCUACGAUCGAUAAUGACAGCUGUCAGUGUUCAUUUGGUGUGCGGCUUGGAUCUCCGAACUUCAAAUUUCAAGGAUUUCAAAUAGGUCCUACAAAUCUGCUGGUUGUGUCUUCUUCUUGGUCUUCCAGAUAUCCUUUAUGUAUCCCGAAAUGUAAAAAAGUGUUUUGCAUUAUAUAAUACACCCAACCCAUAUGAAUAUACUGCUUUUGAUUUGUAACGAUUGAUAAUAAAUUUUUACUUCCAAA